UACGUAGGUCCCGAGCGUUAUCCGGAUUUAUUGGGCGUAAAGCGAGCGCAGGUGGUUAGAUAAGUCUGAAGUUAAAGGCUGUGGCUUAACCAUAGUACGCUUUGGAAACUGUUUAACUUGAGUGCAGAAGGGGAGAGUGGAAUUCCAUGUGUAGCGGUGAAAUGCGUAGAUAUAUGGAGGAACACCGGUGGCGAAAGCGGCUCUCUGGUCUGUAACUGACGCUGAGGCUCGAAAGCGUGGGGAGCAAACAGGAUUAGAUACC
rnacentral:rRNA from 1 species